GACGAACGCUGGCGGCGUGCCUAAUACAUGCAAGUCGAGCGAAGUUUUUCUGGUGCUUGCACCGGAAAAACUUAGCGGCGAACGGGUGAGUAACACGUAAAGAACCUGCCUCAUAGACUGGGACAACUAUUGGAAACGAUAGCUAAUACCGGAUAACAGCAUUAACUGCAUGGUUGAUGUUUAAAAGUUGGUUUUGCUAACACUAUGAGAUGGCUUUGCGGUGCAUUAGCUAGUUGGUGGGGUAAAGGCCUACCAAGGCGACGAUGCAUAGCCGACCUGAGAGGGUGAUCGGCCACACUGGGACUGAGACACGGCCCAGACUCCUACGGGAGGCAGCAGUAGGGUAUCUUCCGCAAUGGGCGAAAGCCUGACGGAGCAACGCCGCGUGAGUGAAGAAGGAUUUCGGUUCGUAAAGCUCUGUUGUUAGGGAAGAAUGAUUGUGUAGUAACUAUACACAGUAGAGACGGUACCUAACCAGAAAGCCACGGCUAACUACGUG
rnacentral:rRNA from 1 species